UACGGGGGGGGGCAAGCGUUGUUCGGAAUUACUGGGCGUAAAGGGCUCGUAGGCGGCCAACUAAGUCAGACGUGAAAUCCCUCGGCUUAACCGGGGAACUGCGUCUGAUACUGGAUGGCUUGAGUUUGGGAGAGGGAUGCGGAAUUCCAGGUGUAGCGGUGAAAUGCGUAGAUAUCUGGAGGAACACCGGUGGCGAAGGCGGCAUUCUGGACCGACAUUGACGCUGAGGAGCGAAAGCCAGGGGAGCAAACGGG
rnacentral:rRNA from 1 species